UACGUAGGAGGCGAGCGUUGUCCGGAUUCAUUGGGCGUAAAGGGCGCGCAGGCGGCCCGGAAAGUCGGAUGUGAAAACUCGAGGCUCAACCUCGAGCGUGCACCCGAUACUGCCGGGCUUGAGGCAGGUAGGGGAGAUCGGAAUUCCUGGUGUAGCGGUGAAAUGCGCAGAUAUCAGGAGGAACACCGGUGGCGAAGGCGGAUCUCUGGGCCUGUCCUGACGCUGAGGCGCGAAAGCUAGGGGAGCGAACAGG
rnacentral:rRNA from 1 species